rnacentral:rRNA from 1 species
GAUGAACGCUGGCGGCGUGCCUAAUACAUGCAAGUCGAGCGAACGGACGAGAAGCUUGCUUUUCUGAUGUUAGCGGCGGACGGGUGAGUAACACGUGGAUAACCUACCUAUAAGACUGGGAUAACUUCGGGAAACCGGAGCUAAUACCGGAUAAUAUUUUGAACCGCAUGGUUCAAAAGUGAAAGACGGUCUUGCUGUCACUUAUAGAUGGAUCCGCGCUGCAUUAGCUAGUUGGUAAGGUAACGGCUUACCAAGGCAACGAUGCAUAGCCGACCUGAGAGGGUGAUCGGCCGCACUGGAACUGAGACACGGUCCAGACUCCUACGGGAGGCAGCAGUAGGGAAUCUUCCGCAAUGGGCGAAAGCCUGACGGAGCAACGCCGCGUGAGUGAUGAAGGUCUUCGGAUCGUAAAACUCUGUUAUUAGGGAAGAACAUAUGUGUAAGUAACUGUGCACAUCUUGACGGUACCUAAUCAGAAAGCCACGGCUAACUACGUGCCAGCAGCCGCGGUAAUACGUAGGUGGCAAGCGUUAUCCGGAAUUAUUGGGCGUAAAGCGCGCGUAGGCGGUUUUUUAAGUCUGAUGUGAAAGCCCACGGCUCAACCGUGGAGGGUCAUUGGAAACUGGAAAACUUGAGUGCAGAAGAGGAAAGUGGAAUUCCAUGUGUAGCGGUGAAAUGCGCAGAGAUGUGGAGGAACACCAGUGGCGAAGGCGACUUUCUGGUCUGUAACUGACGCUGAUGUGCGAAAGCGUGGGGAUCAAACAGGAUUAGAUACCCUGGUAGUCCACGCCGUAAACGAUGAGUGCUAAGUGUUAGGGGGUUUCCGCCCCUUAGUGCUGCAGCUAACGCAUUAAGCACUCCGCCUGGGGAGUACGACCGCAAGGUUGAAACUCAAAGGAAUUGACGGGGGCCCGCACAAGCGGUGGAGCAUGUGGGUUAAUUCGAAGCAACGCGAAGAACCUUACCAAAUCCUGACAUCCUUUGACAACUCUAGAGAUAGAGCCUUCCCCUUCGGGGGACAAAGUGACAGGUGGUGCAUGGUUGUCGUCAGCUCGUGUCGUGAGAUGUUGGGUUAAGUCCCGCAACGAGCGCAACCCUUAAGCUUAGUUGCCAUCAUUAAGUUGGGCACUCUAAGUUGACUGCCGGUGACAAACCGGAGGAAGGUGGGGAUGACGUCAAAUCAUCAUGCCCCUUAUGAUUUGGGCUACACACGUGCUACAAUGGACAAUACAAAGGGCAGCGAAACCGCGAGGUCAAGCAAAUCCCAUAAAGUUGUUCUCAGUUCGGAUUGUAGUCUGCAACUCGACUACAUGAAGCUGGAAUCGCUAGUAAUCGUAGAUCAGCAUGCUACGGUGAAUACGUUCCCGGGUCU